rnacentral:rRNA from 1 species
UGGGGUGCUAAUAAUGCAGUCGAGCGGACAGAAGGGAGCUUGCUCCCGGAUGUUAGCGGCGGACGGGUGAGUAACACGUGGGUAACCUGCCUGUAAGACUGGGAUAACUCCGGGAAACCGGAGCUAAUACCGGAUAGUUCCUUGAACCGCAUGGUUCAAGGAUGAAAGACGGUUUCGGCUGUCACUUACAGAUGGACCCGCGGCGCAUUAGCUAGUUGGUGGGGUAAUGGCUCACCAAGGCGACGAUGCGUAGCCGACCUGAGAGGGUGAUCGGCCACACUGGGACUGAGACACGGCCCAGACUCCUACGGGAGGCAGCAGUAGGGAAUCUUCCGCAAUGGACGAAAGUCUGACGGAGCAACGCCGCGUGAGUGAUGAAGGUUUUCGGAUCGUAAAGCUCUGUUGUUAGGGAAGAACAAGUGCGAGAGUAACUGCUCGCACCUUGACGGUACCUAACCAGAAAGCCACGGCUAACUACGUGCCAGCAGCCGCGGUAAUACGUAGGUGGCAAGCGUUGUCCGGAAUUAUUGGGCGUAAAGGGCUCGCAGGCGGUUUCUUAAGUCUGAUGUGAAAGCCCCCGGCUCAACCGGGGAGGGUCAUUGGAAACUGGGAAACUUGAGUGCAGAAGAGGAGAGUGGAAUUCCACGUGUAGCGGUGAAAUGCGUAGAGAUGUGGAGGAACACCAGUGGCGAAGGCGACUCUCUGGUCUGUAACUGACGCUGAGGAGCGAAAGCGUGGGGAGCGAACAGGAUUAGAUACCCUGGUAGUCCACGCCGUAAACGAUGAGUGCUAAGUGUUAGGGGGUUUCCGCCCCUUAGUGCUGCAGCUAACGCAUUAAGCACUCCGCCUGGGGAGUACGGUCGCAAGACUGAAACUCAAAGGAAUUGACGGGGGCCCGCACA